CAAUAAGAGUGUUUAUGGCACUCUUCAAAAAAUCCAUACCCACCUUGUGUGCAACGUAAAAAGAAAAAAAGACGCGAGUCAUGGGGAUACCCUCCUCAAGUCUUGCCCUUUUUCUCUUUUCCACAUACACCUUUCUAUUAGUUCCUAUUGUCUGAAACUGUUAGAGAAUGACUAAUUCUUAAACA
rnacentral:misc_RNA from 1 species